rnacentral:tRNA from 1 species
AGCUAUAAGGGCAGCUUAAUUUCGACUUAAGUGUUGGAUUUAGUAGUGAAAUUC